rnacentral:rRNA from 1 species
AGGAUUAGAUACCCUAUUAUCCUUAGAUAUUUUUAGGUAGUACCUUCAUUUUAGGAAAACCUAUGUAGUUUUAAUGGCGGCAUUAACUCACGUUAGAGGAACCUGUUUUUUAAUCGACACCCCACGAUAAAUUUUACUUCUACUUACAUCUUAUAUACCUCCAUCUUAAGGAUUAAUAUUCUUAUAUAUUAUCUCCUAAAUAGAGUUCUAAUAAGUUAGGUAAAGGUGUAGACUACGUAGAAGUUAAAAUGGGUUACAAUAAAUCAUAUUUAAGGAUGAAUAUUAAAAAUUUAUUCUCAAAAAGGAUUUAAAAGUAACUGAAAAAUAGUAAUCUUCUUUGAAAUUGAUAAACAAUGUGUACACAUCGC